GACGGAGGAUGCAAGCGUUAUCCGGAAUGAUUGGGCGUAAAGCGUCCGCAGGUGGCAGUUCAAGUCUGCUGUCAAAGACCGGGGCUUAACUUCGGAAAGGCAGUGGAAACUGAACAGCUAGAGUAUGGUAGGGGCAGAGGGAAUUCCUGGUGUAGCGGUGAAAUUCGUAGAGGAUCGGAAAGAACACCAACGGCGAAAGCAACUCUGCUGGGCCGACACUGACACUGAGAGACGAAGCUAGGGGAGCGAAUGGG
rnacentral:rRNA from 1 species